CCCAGCUGCCUUUCCCCAGAUGCCCCAUCCCUGUGCAUACAGCCAGAGUGGGGGCCGUGGCUCUGCUCUGAGCAGCGCGAGGAGAAAGCACAGGAAGUUGUUUAACAUUUCACCGACAGAAAAACAGCACAGCCCUUUCCCAUCCCAUCUCCCGUGGUCCUCACAGCCGCGUGGGAUGGGUGAUGCCCAUCUCUGACCCCUGAAGUGCACGGAGGUACCGCAGAUCGCUGUGGAUCGCCCUCAGCACACUGCGGGUGAGCGCAGCCACGGCAGCUUCUGGAUGCCAUGUGUGGAUGCAGCCCAAGGAAUGUUCCAGGGCGCUGUGACUCCCACUGCUGGGAUGGCUGGAGGCUCCGGGAAAGUCAUAAACGCAGCGUGAGCACAGCCAGGUCCCAGGGGGUAAAGGAAAGCGCUGAAAUCUGUUAAUUUUUAGUAAGUCUGAUGCCCUGGGGCCCACGUCGGUGCCGCGUGGCCACGGCUGAGUGCACUGCAGCUCCCACAGCGCGGGGCUGAUCCGGUGGGAAGCGGAGCCCCCGUCCUCUCCCCACCUCACCAGGAUCCGAUGCGCGCGCUGAGGCUGAGCCCGAAUUCCUGACCCCGCCGUGGGUCCGUGUUGGCUGCCUGGAGGCGAGACGGGCCCCAGCGGGGGACGGUGGGGGCCGCAGUGCUGGCCCUGAGCCCUCCGUCACUACUUGAGGAAGACGAGCAGGAAGAAGGUGGCGACGAUGAGGAUGAGGAUGCCGGCGGCGAAGCCGAGGCGCAGGUUCUCCACGGAGUGCCCCGAGGCCCAAUGGGCACCGCUGCCUUCAUUCUCUUCCUCCUCCUCCCCGGCUGUGAGCCGGGCGCGGUGCGGGGUCCCCGGGAUUGCCGUCAUCCCGCGGCCGCCCGGGGCCAUCUCGGGCAUCAGCGUCACCAUCCUGCAGAAGGGGCAACUGAUGAAAGCAACAGUGGCGGCGCGGCACACCAACUUGUGCAGGCAGUUCUGGCAGAGGGAGUGGCUGCAGGGCAGCCGUUGGGGCGCCCGGCCGCCCCUGACGCCCUGGUACGCCUCAUAGCAGAUCCCGCACUCCCCGCCGCUCUCCGGCCCCGCC
rnacentral:lncRNA from 1 species